UGAAAUUUAAAACCCUUAAUAUUACAUGACAUAGAACGCGAUUUCGUUAUGGAAAUCUACUAAAUUGAACCGUCAGCAGCACUGAAAUUGAGUCACAUCAAUAUUACAUGACACAGAACACGAUUUUUUAAUGUAAAAUUCCGUCACACAUGAUGCUUCUUUUUAUUUACAUCAUAUGUGAUGUAAUUUUACUAAUAUUUUUGUACACACAAAAAUAUGAAUCCUUAAAAGCACUGAAUAAGAAUUUUCUGAAAAUUACACGACUCGGAGUUUGAAUGCAAUUAAUAGAACAUAACACUGAACGCAAUAAUGUCAUGUAAAAAUACAGACUGUCGGAAACAGGCACACACAAAACGUCAGUGGCAGUGGAAGUCAGCGAAAAAAUUUUGAACCAAUUGCUCGUUUCACUCUUUUUACUAAAAUUUAAGUUUGCCGUGCCAAACAGAUAAAAAAAUUUAGCACAGCGGUACGCUGAUGGAAUUUCAGGCGAUUCGCAUUGUUUUGUUUUUGGUGCGAUAUUUUGGUUUUCGAAAUUGGAAUUUCCAUUGAAAGAAAACUAUUUCCUCAAUCGUCCUAGCAUCCUCAAAGUCCGGCGAGAGGUUAAAUUUGACCAUAUAAGUUGACGCAGUAUGUGGAGCUACACCGGAAAGAUGCCACCAGCAACGAUUAGCGCUUCCUUCACUCGCUCAGCAGCCGCAUAGGAACAUUCCAACAUACAUCAACAUCAAGGCCAUGUCACAGAAUGAAAUUAAACCUCCAAGGAUAAUGCUUCAAGAACAAAAACCUAUCCGAAUAGAGGAUACAGAUCCACUUUGGCUGUUUGUCAAGCAUCAGGGUCCCCACCGAUCUGGAGGUUAUCAAUAAGCUGAGAAAAUCGGGAAAACUAAAAAACGAAAUAUAAUAACCUAUUCAGCGGAUAUGGCACAGCAAAGGUUCAUGAAACUUGGUGACGGGAAACGCGUCUGGAAAUCUAAUUUCUUGUGCCCACUCUUUUUGGACCGGUUUCUGCCUACCAGCACAAAGCGCAAACGUACAUCCAGUUGGCUUCCCCCGGAGCCAAAGGCAUCAUCCCGUUGCGGGCUAUCUUACAUCUUCGAAAGGUUUUAAUGCUGCAAUAUUUUGGUAAGAUAACGCGAACAACAGCAAUCAAAACUAAAACCAACUAGAAUAUCUGAAAAGAGUUAUUUUUAUCUUUGGUGUUCUUAUCAUUCCCAGAAAAACUAAAAUUUAUGGCAUCCGCAUGACGCUUAAUUGUACAAGUAGAAACUAUUUUCUCAUGUGAAUUUAUUCAAUAAAAAUCAUGUUUGAACGUGUAUAAUGUCUUCCAUUAUUACAUAUCCAGAAAUUAGUUUCAAAUUG